rnacentral:rRNA from 1 species
AUUGAAAGCUGGCGGCAUGCCUUACACAUGCAAGUCGAACGGCAGCAUGGAGAGCUUGCUCUCUGAUGGCGAGUGGCGAACGGGUGAGUAAUGCAUCGGAACGUACCGGGUAAUGGGGGAUAACGUAGCGAAAGUUACGCUAAUCCCGCAUACGACCAGAGGGUGAAAGCAGGGGAUCGCAAGACCUUGCGUUAUACGAGCGGCCGAUGUCCGAUUAGCUAGUUGGUGCAGUAAAGGCUCACCAAGGCGACGAUCUGUAGGGGGUCUGAGAGGAUGAUCCGCCACACUGGGACUGAGACACGGCCCAGACUCCUACGGGAGGCAGCAGUGGGGAAUUUUGGACAAUGGGGGCAACCCUGAUCCAGCCAUGCCGCGUGAGUGAAGAAGGCCUUCGGGUUGUAAAGCUCUUUCGGCCGGGAAGAAAUCGCACAGGCUAAUACUCUGUGUGGAUGACGGUACCGGCAUAAGAAGCACCGGCUAACUACGUGCCAGCCGCCGCAGUAA